rnacentral:tRNA from 1 species
GGUGACUCAGUGGUAGAGUGCUUGCCUUGCAUGCAUGAGGCCCUAGGUUUGACUCCUCAGCACCA